rnacentral:tRNA from 1 species
GGUUCCAUAGUGUAGCAGUUAGCAUGUCUGCUUUAUACUCAGAAAGUCCUGGGUUCAUACCCCAGUGGAGCUA